AUGGCCGACGGAGUGUUGAUGCAGGAACUCCGCACCGCCACCGACCUCGCCCUACGUGCGACCAAUGUGACCGCGCGGGCCUUGGGUCAGGCGAUGUCCACACUCGUGUUUCUAUCACUGUGGUACACGUUCGGCGGCGGCACCAGACUGGAUGUUGGCAGUGUAACUCGUCCUACAGUUACGGUCCUGCCGGCGUCCAGUGAAGAGAUUUCCAGUAAGCAGACAGCAACACUGAUGUGUGUGGUCAGCAAGGGCUUCCCUUCAGACUGGAGCUUGAGCUGGAAGGUGGAUGGGAACAGCAGGUCUCAGGAGAACAGCGCUGGACUCCUGCAGAAGGACGGUCUGUACAGCUGGAGCAGCAGUCUGACUCUCUCUGAACACGACUGGAUCAAGAGCGUCUCAGUGAGCUGUGAGGCCACACGAGGAGACCAGACAGUCACUGGACAAGUGAAGAGAGAUCAGUGUUCUCCAUAGAUCCUCUGUCUUCUGCUCUUCUUCUCAUUCAUGUCUCACAACAGUGAGUUUCUAUUCAUAUGUGCUUCAUUCAUUCACUGAUGAGUAUCUUUUGCUAAAAUUCAAUAAAAGAAAA